CUUCCAAGAGCAGACUACUACUUCUGGCUACCAAAAGGUCUGGACCAUUCAUUAUGCAUUCCCAGCACAAGUGCUAACUUGGUGGCGGUGGUCCAAUAAUUAGGUGACCCGGAAGUGGGUUGGAGUUGUGAUUGUUAAAUGAGAAAUGUCUUCGCAAAGAUUCCAAUUUCGCGCUUAGACCACUGUCAUCGGGAAAAAAACUGUUGCCACCAUGAGUAAACGAAAAGUGAAAGAAACACACAUGCCAGUCGGCGAAUGUAUUUCUCAGGUUCAGAUGAUAUUGAGGGAGAGAUUCUGUCAUCAGAGACUUCCUGAAAAGCCAGUGGGAAUGGAAUCACAACACAAACACCUGCUGGAGCUGCUGAGGAGGACAGCUGUCCAUGGAGAGAGUAAUUCUGUACUCAUCGUUGGACCCAGGGGAUCUGGGAAAACAAUGCUCCUGAACUGUGUCUUGAGAGAGUUGCUGGAGGUGAAGGAUGUCAAUAAGAAUGUGUUACCUGUCCACCUGAAUGGUCUUUUACAGACUGAUGAUAGAAUAGCGCUCAAAGAAAUCACACGCCAGCUCAAUCUGGAGAAUGUUGUUGGAGACAAAGUGUUUGUAAGUGUUUACAGAAGUUAUGCUGUAUGUUUUGUCCCUUUGCAAUGUUUUUGCUUGCUGUUAAUGUUAUUUUCAGGGUAGUUUUGCAGAAAACCUGGCCUUCCUUCUUGAGGCGUUAAAGAAAGGUGAUCGUAGCAGCAGUCGUCCUGUCCUCUUCAUUCUGGAUGAGUUUGACCUGUUUGCCCACCAUAAGAACCAGACUCUGCUCUACAACCUCCUGGAUGUCUCCCAGUCUGCCCAGGCUCCCGUAGCUGUGAUCGGCCUCACCUGCAGACUGGCAUUAUGAGCCAUCCUCCCCUCAGCAGUCUCCUGUGACUUUACUCUACCUUCUUCUCUGGUGAUCACAACUGGUCUCAUCUCUACUUGCUGCAGGAUGUCCUGGAGCUGCUAGAGAAGAGGGUCAAGUCCAGGUUCAGCCACAGACAGAUCCACCUGCUCAGCUCCCUGAGCUUCAUACAGUACCUGGACAACGUCCGCUCACAGCUCAGCCUGCCACAAGACUUCCCCGACACCAAGUUCUAUGACGAGUGGAAUGACAGCAUCAAGACGCUAUGUGAAGACCAAUCAGUGGUGGACGUCUUACAAAGACAUUAUAACUCCAGCAAGGACUUCCGUUCCCUGCACUUGUUACUGAUGUUGGCUCUGAGCCGAGUGAGCGCAUCUAAACCUGCCAUCAAGCCCACUGAUCUUCUGGAGGCCAGUAGAGUCUGUAUGGUGGACUCUAAAGCAAACAUACUUCAUGGCCUGUCCAUUCUUGAACUGUGCCUGAUAAUUGCCAUGAAACACUUGAAUGACAUCUAUGAAGGAGAGCCGUUUAACUUCCAGAUGGUUCACAAUGAGUUCAAGAAAUUCCUGCAGAGGAAAUCCCAUUCUAUACAUAACUUUGACAAGCCAGUCGUCAUGAAGGCGUUUGAACACCUGCAGCAGUUGGAGCUGAUUAAGUCUAUGGACAGCUCCACAGCAAAGAUCCAGAAGGAGUACCAGCUGAUGAAACUUUUGUUGGACCACAGCCAGAUCAUGGAGGCCCUGCAGAAAUACCCACAAUGCCCCACAGAUGUUAAACAGUGGGCCAUGUCUGCUUUUGGUUAAAGGUACAUAUUCUUCUAUAUUGCGUCCAGUGGGGCAGUUAUGAAAGAUAUGGGACUGUGGCCUGGACCCUGUCCUCAGGGAUAGACAAGGAAUGACCUAACAAAUGUUUCUGCCAUGUGUUCAUUCCUUGUGUGUAAAUGUAAAUAUUUGGCUGUACUUAUUGAAUAAAGUCAUGCAAUUUUUUGGGUCA